rnacentral:rRNA from 1 species
CAGUAGCCACGGUAAUACGUAGGUGGUAAGCGUUGUCCGGAAUUAUUGGGCGUAAAGGGCUCGCAGGCGGUUUCUUAAGUCUGAUGUGAAAGCCCCCGGCUCAACCGGGGAGGGUCAUUGGAAACUGGGAAACUUGAGUGCAGAAGAGGAGAGUGGAAUUCCACGUGUAGCGGUGAAAUGCGUAGAGAUGUGGAGGAACACCAGUGGCGAAGGCGACUCUCUGGUCUGUAACUGACGCUGAGGAGCGAAAGCGUGGGGAGCGAACAGGAUUAGAUACCCCCGUAGUCCCUGUCUCUUAUAC